rnacentral:rRNA from 1 species
UGGGGAAUCUUAGACAAUGGGGGAAACCCUGAUCUAGCCAUGCCGCGUGAGUGACGAAGGCCCUAGGGUCGUAAACUGCUUUUGCGUGGGACGAUAACGACGGUACCACGCGAAUCAGCCCCGGCUAACUCUGUGCCAGCAGCCGCGGUAAUACAGAGGGGGCAAGCGUUGUCCGGACUUACUGGGCGUAAAGCGCACGCAGGUGGUAGCGCAAGUGGGGUGUGAAAGCCGCCAGCUCAACUGGCGGAGGCCAUCCCAAACUGCGUCACUUGAGGCCUGUAGAGGUAUGUGGAAUUGCCGGUGUAGUGGUGAAAUGCGUAGAGAUCGGCAGGAACACCCAGGGGGAAACCAGCAUACUGGACAGGACCUGACACUCAGGUGCGACAGCGUGGGGAGCGAACCGGAUUAGAUACCCCCGUAGUCC